rnacentral:tRNA from 1 species
GGAGGGGUGGCAGAGUGGUCGAUUGCACCGGUCUUGAAAACCGACGAACCGCAAGGUUCCCAGGGUUCGAAUCCCUGCCCCUCCGCCA